GCCUUCCUUCCCAGCCUCGGGAUAUAGAGGAGGGUCCUUUGCAUCCCCUUCGGAAAGAGGAUCCAUAGGAGGAUUUUUGAUUGUAAACUCAAAUAACAAGAACAUAUUAAGCUGCUGGACGGAUCGCCCCCAAAUUUUCACAUGACGUCCCUCCCUGUUGCGGGC